CAUGUCUUUUUGAAUAUAAUUUAAAGUCUAAUCUGCUCCAUGAAAAUUUAAAUAGCUGCAGAAUAUUAACUGUACAAAGGUAGCAUAGUCAAUAGUUUUUUAAUUGAAAGCUGGUAUGAAUGAUUUGAUAAGGUAAUUAUUGUCUCAAAUUUAAUAAUAUUAAAAUUUUUAUUUUAGUAAAAAUACUGAAAUGAAUUUAAAAGACGAGAAGACCCUAUAGAUUUUUAUAAUUUAUAUUAAAAAUAUUUAAAUAAAUUAAUAAGUUUUAAUAAAAAAAUUAUUUGAUUGGGGAAAUUAUUAAAUUAAAUAAAUUUUAAUUAUAUAUUAACAAUAAUUUUUGAAUAAUUGAUCUUUUAAUUAAAAUUAAUAGAAUAAAUUACCUUAGGGAUAACAGCGUAAUUUUUUUGGAGAGUCCUAAUUGAUAAAAAAGUUUGCGACCUCGAUGUUGAAUUAAGAUAAAAUUUUAAUGAAGAAGUUAAAUAAUUUUAGUCUGUUCGACUAUUAAUAUCUUACGUGAUCUGA
rnacentral:rRNA from 1 species